UUCGAAAUGAUCAACUCAUAACCUCCUCUUAAUCCCACCCCUUCCCCUUUUAGAGGAUCUCAUGCUUAAAUUCGCAGAGUCCCUCUUUUUUUAAGAAGUCUCCAGCUGCCUUUGGAUGGACCAAGCUUCCAGGUAAGGGAGUUCCAUUUCACGUUCUGUCUCUGCAAAGGGAUCCUGAGGAGACUGUUUUUUUGGAGGAAGAACCCAGAACAGUGAAUCCAGAAGAAAUUGGCAUAUUCUCUGGGCUUUGAUCCACUAACUACAUAUUAAAAGUUCCCCCUCAGUCUAUGUAGAGCUGACCAGGGAAGAACACUUUGGAGGUAUGUAUAAUCAAAUUUAUAAGAAAAAUCCUGGGAAGAAAAAGUAGAAGUGAGAAGACAAGUGCUAAUAGUAACAAAAACUGGGGAGGUAGAAACAUGACCUUUCCUCUUUCUUAUUCAAGGGCUGUUGGAACAAGGGAAGUAACCUCAAAUGCUCCAGGGGACUGCUUUGAACGGAUUCUUAACCUAAGUUAUUCCCUGCAAUGAAGAAUAAGAGAGAAAAAAAAAAAAUCAGAAAAACUAGCCAGCAUAGCCAC
rnacentral:lncRNA from 1 species